GGGGCUAGGAGGAAGAGGCCGUAAUAGGGGAUCGGGCCUACCCUGAGUUCCCUGUUCAGCUAGAGCAUCCAUUCACCUCCAUUCUCCCCCAGGCUGUCUAUACUGCCUGAAGGCUUAAUUCACUGGCCAUUAGGCUGCAGAUUUGUUAUUGCUCACCUUCAGAGGCACUGACAGAAGACAUUUCAGCCACGGGCGGGACGGGACUUCCAGAGGGAAUUACAAGGAAGGAUUUGGUUCCUUCUGAGGAGCUCUUGUUAUGUUCUAGAAAUACCAAAUAUAAGACAGACAGUCUGUUUGAUAGAAUACCGUCUUCCCAUAGACAUAGGACUGUAAAUUGGCAAUGGGGAUUCCCAGUCAUGGAGCAAUGGGACCUGAUUUGUCAAUCACUUUUCAAUUAGCAAAUGAGUUGCACCCUGUAGGCAAGGUACCACUACGGCUCCUGGUCAAAAUGACUUCGAUCAAAGCCAUAAGAGCUGAGGUAGGACAGAGGAGAGCUGAGCCAGCAGGAUUUAUCCACUUCUUGGUGUAGAGCAAUUAAAUUAUCUUCGUAUAUAAUAUAAUUACCAUUAUGCAAUUGAUCAAAUGGUUUGAUUUUAUACCAGAACCACUCAAAGGCCAAUAACAUAACCUCAUUAGAAGAGAGGGAAAGCAGACAAUUGAAAUACAGCAUGAUAUAAUAGGCUAUAUAGCUCCAGGUAGAGAGAGUCAGCAGUUUUAAGUUCAUCGACGUCCUCACCACCGAGGACUUUACAUGAACCAACAACACUACAACUUUUUUCAAGAGGGCGCAACAGCGUCUCUACUUCCUAAAGCGGCUGAAGAAAUUUGGCAUGCCACACCGGGUCCUCUCCAAAUACUACUGCUGCACCAUUGAGAGCAUCCCGACCGGUUGCAUCAUGUCCUGGUCUGACCUCUCCCAAUGUGACAGCCGCGGCCGCUGAAGGACGUCCUGAUUGGCUGACACUGCACUUCCACCUGCCAUUGCCACACCGAUCGUUACCAAGGUGUGAGAGGUCUGGUUGCCGUGUAGGCAGUUGAUGAAGAAAAGGAAUCGAUGGAGUGAGGAAUAAUGAAGAAAUGAGAGACGGAGACAGACAGGCCGCAAAAAUGAGUGUGUCACUUUUGCAGUGACAAAAUAACUUCAAACUAACAUACUAACAGAGUAAUCGUCAUUCAAAAAUGUAAUCUUAAAGAGAAGAAAUGUAACAGAACAAAAUGCACUUCAUUUUGAUAUUAACUACUUCAAUGAGAGAUUGGAGGCUCAAUUUAUAUUCUAAUUGAAUGAAUUUUAUAAAAGGAUUAACAAGAAAAAUGCCUGAGCUAGGAGGCUGAGUUCUUUGAAAGUAAGCCUUAACAAAUAUGGCACAAUUGUAACAAAAUGAUUUAGCUUUUAUAAUAGUGGGUUUGAUUUGUUUGAAUGUUGACUCCAGACCUUGGUCUUGUGGUUCAUUCAAGUGGUACUGUACAGAAGAUAUAAAAAAGUGAUAUAUUCGCAUAUCUUUCCUAAGAGAAUCAUUACAAUAAUAACUGGGCAACGCAGGCAGGGAAAUGAUUGAUGACUAUAUGGAAUUCUAAACUGCUCUUUGGUUGGUUUCGAGGCGAGCAAGGUUUAUUUGUCUUCAUAUUGUGAGAGUCUCUGUUUAUGUUCUGUCUCUGGAGAAACCACAUGUCCUGAGAAAUGACCCCACCCCCCAGAAACACACCAAAUAUUAAGUUCUGUAAAGGCUAUCAAUUUCACUGUACUGAUCUGCCGCUUUAGUAACUCAGUCUAACCCACUUUGAAAACCUGUCAAUUAAUCUUGAAUUAUUUCAGCGACAGAAGACCGGAGCUUUCUUCUUCUCUGGUCUGGUCUGUCCAUCUUCUCCCGAAGGGGUGUAUUUGGACUGUAGGUAGCUAGGUAAAGCAGUGGGUUUGCUUAUUCUAUGGAACCAAAGGAAAGAUUUCAAAUAUACUCUGUUGAAAAUUAUAUAAUGUCACAUAUAGUGUAUAAUAUAAUUUAAUGUUCAGUUAUAUUGUUUUGAACAUGGACUUGAAAUAAGCCUAUACAGCAAAUAGCCUGAAAAUCACUAAGAUGCAUGUAGUGGUGAAUGCAGGCAGAGUGCAGACAUUCUUAAACAUGACAAUCAUGCUCCAUCAGAGUUUACAAGGAGUGUAUGCAUCGGGUCAAGCGUACUGCAACUGAGAUAUCCUCACUGCAGUCUGCACCUUUUCCACUAUUUCCAGGCCAAUUGAUUUAUUUCACAUUAUUAAUGAACUUUGCUGCAGCUCCACUUGUCAGGCUUGGCCUGUGGGGGUCAAUAACGAGAGGAAACUUGAUGUUAGUGGAUCCUGCUUAAGUGAUUCUGUCGCGCUAACGAUUCAAUAUAUCAGGACAAAUGUCAGCCACUUUUAAUAUGUUGAUUCCACCGUGCCUCAUCUGCAUAAGCGCUGGGCUUGGUGAGAUCCAAACUUCGACUCAGCCCGACCAGGAGAUAUGUAAUGGCAGGCUGAGAAUUCGUUCAGCUUUCGGUAAAUAUUUGAUGAAACAGGUAUAGGCGGCUGAACGGAAUGGACGGCUAGUGCAGAAUAAAUAAACCGACUUCCUGAUGUGUCGUUGAAUGCCACUCAUCCUGGGAUCGUCAUUCUUUAGAACUGUUAUGAACCAAAGUAGUAUGACAAGUCAUAAUCUAGCUUUGAAUGUUGAUUGAUAUGUGUGCUUUCUCCAUAAUGCACUUAAAAGAAAGGUAACUAUAUGCUA